GACGAACGCUGGCGGCGUGCUUAACACAUGCAAGUCGAACGGAAAGGCCCUGCUUUUGUGGGGUGCUCGAGUGGCGAACGGGUGAGUAACACGUGAGUAACCUGCCCUUGACUUUGGGAUAACUUCAGGAAACUGGGGCUAAUACCGGAUAGGAGCUCCUGCUGCAUGGUGGGGGUUGGAAAGUUUCGGCGGUUGGGGAUGGACUCGCGGCUUAUCAGCUUGUUGGUGGGGUAGUGGCUUACCAAGGCUUUGACGGGUAGCCGGCCUGAGAGGGUGACCGGCCACAUUGGGACUGAGAUACGGCCCAGAUUCCUACGGGAGGCAGCAGUGGGGAAUAUUGCACAAUGGGCGGAAGCCUGAUGCAGCAACGCCGCGUGCGGGAUGACGGCCUUCGGGUUGUAAACCGCUUUCGCCUGUGACGAAGAGUGAGUGACGGUAAUGGGUAAAGAAGCACCGGCUAACUACGUG
rnacentral:rRNA from 1 species